UCUAUUUUAUAACUUAAAAGGACCACAUUAGACUCCCAUGAUAUGAGACUUCCAUAAUGGAGAGUGACAAAUUGGUCAGCGGAAAGGGAGAUAUUUUGUUUUCACAGAGGGGGCUGCGUGGGCAGUCCAAGGAAUGCAGGCCUUGCAGCGGGCCGGACGACCUGAGACCCCGCUGACUCUGGAGGGGAGGCAGGUCACGGACCCUCGGAGCUGCGGUUUCCCUAUCUGUUACAGGAGCAUGGCAAUCACUGCGGUUGGAGAGAAGGUAGCAAAGCAUGGGACACAGUUUUGAUGGCCAGAGAACAAGUGAAAACACCUUGCUGGUUCUGCAUUUCCGUUUGUUUCUCUCGUUGUUCUUGCUUCAUCGAUGUUUAUGUUUUCUUGCAUGAAGAUUUAUGAGGCACCCGCCUGUGGAUUGCAUCUUCUCCAUUGAUCCAGAAUGGUUCAUCGCCUCAAAAGGAAAUCUCCCAUCCAUGAAGCAGUCCCUUCUUUUUCUCCCCUGCUCCCAGCCCCUGGCAGCCACUAAUCUGCUCUCCAUCUCCAUUGAUUCACCUUUUCUGGACAGCAAGACCCAGAGAGCUUUGGAGGAAACAAGAGCAGAGGGAACAUGCACCCAUUUCUCACUGAGCAUAGAAAAAGCAGCUGACUACUGAGAGGGCAAGCUGUGUGAUGCAUCUCAGCGAUGGCCAGCCGAGCUGCAACUGCUGGGACCCAGUGCAGCGACAAAGCAGCAACAUGACCGCCAUGCCCGUGGAUCUCACCUGAGAGUAUGAGAGAGAGCCAGAAGCGAGGGUGCGAAUGGGCGCAGGGGCCACCCUUGAGCAGAAACCUGUGUGUACAGAUGACUGCGGACCUUUGAGACAUGGACACAAUAAUUUCCCCUGUGGACAGAUAAACCCAAGUCUAGAUGGUUCCACCCUGCUAUCUCUGCCUCCCCCACAGACAACAAGAUGUCAACACUUAUCUCCUUGGUGCAACACAGACCUCUGGAAAUUGGAUGCAGCCUUGGAGGAAGUCGGAAGGAAACCAGAAUUGACAGUUUAAUUUUCCACCACUUCAUUGGGUGGG